rnacentral:misc_RNA from 1 species
GUAUUCCUAAUUAGAGUUUAUUAGGUUUUCUAUUCCUAAAUUAAUUAAGGUUAUAAGCUCUAUAAAGGAGAGUUAAUUUUUUUAUUAUUCAAUAGCUUUAGACUAUAAUUAUUAUUGAGAUUAAUAAAAUUAUUGAGAAUUAAUUUUCUUUUCAAGGAUUGAUGCUUGAUCUGUUCUUUGUUCAUUAUUUGUUCUACAUCAAAACUCAAAGAGAGGGUUGGAUUGGCAUGAGAAAGGGGAGAAUUGAAAAAGUGAAUGUG